ensembl:processed_transcript AI606473 expressed sequence AI606473
GUCUUUAAAUUCUCGCUCCCCAGCCAAAACCUAAACAAAGAUUCGGGUUACAGCUCUUUCAGCGGCUCACGGAGGGAAAGCGGAGGUCUUCUGGAUUCCCAAGUCUUAGGUCUCCCUAAAUGCGCACCAAUGGUUCUCUCUACAUUUUCGAAAGGUUUUCCCGUUAAGAUAAUGAAGGGACAAACGAAGGACUAGAUUUGAUUCGCGACUAGAUUUGAAAUCAAGGAUACAAGAAAAACGAAAAGGCUUCCGGGCUUAGAGAAGGAGGACGUCAGACUGGAGUCUAAAGGGCUGGUCUGGCGUCCGCCCUGCUCCCGGCGCCCGGCGGGACUGCGAACUCACCAGCAGCAUAAUUGCCUGUGUCCAGCGCGCUCCAGGGGCUACCCCGUGGUGGGAAAAUAAAUCGGCCGUGCCUUGUUGGUGCCUUCCUAUUGGACUGAAAUUUCUAGAAGCCACUGUUCAUCAAAUGAAAACCAGAGAGGAAGGCCCACUAGGAGGUCGGCCAACACCCUGGAUUUCCUGGCUCUCUCAAAGGAUUGAAUGGGGUAGGAAAGAAAACUAUGUCUGUUCCGGGGCUGUGCGGCUCGCUUGCAAGUUCGGAGGCACUAAGUGUGCCCUGCUAAAACCUUGGGGUGGGGUGCAGGAAAGGGUCUGGAGCCCGUCGAGCCAGGCCUUCGUCUAGGACCCGAGAAAGAGAAUCUACCUGACACUCAGAGCUUCCACCUUGGCGAAGAGCUCCCUAAUUGGACGGCGAGCUGCUGAGAAAUCUGCGGUCUUCUAAUAACCCGUCUUCUCCUCCUUGGCGAUUCCUAUCAAAGGCAUAAAACUGGUAUUUUCAUACCCGGCUCGCAAGGCAGGAGCCGUUUAUGAACAUCAAGCAUCAAUGGGGCAGAAAAAGGCUGCAUUGACAGAGUUCUCUGGAGUUCGAUAUUUAAAAGCAAUAGAUCCGAAUUAGAAAAUUAUUACUUGAAGUAGUGAAAGUCCCCGCCAAUUUAACUAUUGAACUCUGCGCGUCUGAGCUCCAUGUGCUAACUACACUUUUGAAGGGACUUAUCCCGGAACUUGAGCAAAAGGCAGGUCAUACACUGGUUCUCAGCUUCUAAUGUUGCCCUCUCUGGAGUUGCGAUCCUCCAGAGGGCUGGCAAGGACUCACAAAAUCCUAGUCUAGACAGGGCUGGAACCUGGGAAGAAGCCUAAGCGAAGUAGCUACAGUGUCCUGACCAAAGUCUAGCUUGGCUGGGCAGCACUUUCUCCAACCCAAGACCGGAGAGAUUCACUUCCUAGUACCGCGCCUCUGCACAGUCGACCCAAGGAUUCUGUGCAGUAAUGUAACCCAAGGAUUAUCUGCUGCACUAGGGUAAUGUGUGACCUCCGCUCCCAAGAAGGAACUGUCAAUGUCCCUGAUGUCAACGCUCAGUUUUGAUCACCCUGAAACUGCAAGCGAGACACCUUGGAUUGUUGCCCACUUCGUGUGCUCAUCGGAGUCUGGAAAGUGGAGAAAAGAGAGCGUCCAGAGGUUUUGUUUUGUUUUGUUUUGUUGCUAAAAGCCGGAGGCUAGGAGUCUGCUUCUGCACUCUGUGGCACAGAGUGUGAAACUUGCUAACUUUGGGACUUAAACUGGAUCCAGUCUCUGGGGGAAAAAAGAGGUGAGACUAUUCUCAAAAGAGAAGGUCGCCAAGAAGGUGGAUGCCUGAACACCCGAUCUGCUGCGAUUUUCUGCUAGUUGAGGCU